CGGGGCGUGGCGCAGUUGGUAGCGCGCAGCGUUUGGGACGCUGAGGUCGCUGGUUCGAGCCCAGUCGCCCCGA
rnacentral:tRNA from 1 species